CUUGGCUCACGUCGAGCUGGUUGCACUCAGUUCAACUCCCUGGGACUCUGACACAGGAACUGCUGGAAAGUCAAGCCUUGACUGUUCUUCCUUAUCCCUGAUGACAGAGUCUCUGACAGCAAAGUGUGUCAUUGGUGCUGUGUUGGAUCAGCAAGUAGGCACAGUGCAUGCCUAAAACCGUAAACAACCGUCACCUCGUCCAGAAGGAACCCAGCCCAGGGCCUGGUUCAAAGCAGGCAGCAUGGCUCAAUGAAUGACUGCUACAUGGAUGGAUGCUCUAUAUCAUUCUGGUUCUGGAAAAAACCUGACUACAGUUCCAACUCUUCCCCCUUUCCACCUUGUUUCUAACCCCUCCUCUCCAAUUCACAAUGGAAUGGGGAUGGACACAUAGAAGAGCGAUAUCUUGGUAAGCCUGGUUGAAUAUCCUCUUCAUAAACCAUCAUGGCUCCGGAGUCGCCCUUAUAUUCCUCAGAACAGCCUAAUUAUGACAUUUCAGGGGGGUCUGUCUCCGCCACGAGCUCGGGUGAUCUUGGAAGGUGGAAGUUAUGUCUGGCUCAUCUCUGAGUCACAGCACCUGGCACCUGAGGCCAGACACUUAACACUACUCUUCAGUGAUUGCCCCCUGUCUGUUUGGCUCACACACUAGACUAUGAGCUCCUUGUGGACAAGGACCAAGUUUUAUCCAUUUUUGCAUUUUCCCUCCUAUAGGGCCUUGUUUAUUUGUUAUGUUGUUGACUGAUAAGUG